rnacentral:ncRNA from 2 species
CGAACCGUUACGGGAGAGAUCGGUCGCCCGUGCCAUCAGGCGCGGGGCAGAGCCGGCGCCGAAGGAGCAACCGCCCCCGGAAACUCUCAGGCAAAUGGACCGUAACGGCAUG